rnacentral:lncRNA from 1 species
GGGGAGAGGAGGUCCCUCGUGCCCAGAGGGCUUAGGUAUGGGCUCCAGGCGGUUGGUGCAGGAACUGCCACAGCCCUCUUUGGGCACAGGGUUCAGACAGUACGCCGGAGCGAAGGGGCGCCACUACAACCUCUUGAGGUCCUUAUCCAGGACCCAUGCGGCCCGGAGUGCAAAGCCUCCUGGCGAAGAACAGCAAGAGCCCGCGGAAGGGACAGCGCGGAUGGCCCGAGCCCUGGACCUGGGGAGCUGUGGCCUCAAGUGGACCGCGCCCCCCUGCCGGCUUGGCGCCUGACCGGGCCGCGACCCCAGACUCCCGCGGAGGGGCCGGGGCAGGGACGGAGCAAAGCCGAGAGGAGCAGGACUCACUAGUCCCCCAGAGGACCAAGACCCCGGCGUUUCGGGGUGAGCUAGUAAGAUUUCACGGUAGGGACAAGGCUCAGAAAAGCUAAAUUGAGAAUUGGGAUUUGGAGGGGGGAAUUAUCUGAAAUUUCAGAAUUUUCAUUUCUAUUUGGAAACAUAGGAAUAACCAAAAUUAGGAGGAAAUAUACUGUUUCAUUUUGCCUCCUUGUAAUCCUAUUAUGCCUUAUAAGGUCAUAACCUGAGAUUGUGCCUGGCUGCCUUCAUUAAUCCAUCGUAAACGUGAGGACUGACUGCCAGGGAGCACACUAACGCUUCACGUAUGCUAAUCAUUUUACAGUUUACCAAGCACGGCCACAUCCCAGUCUACUUUGAGCUUCACAGCCACCCUUGAGUCAGGCAAGGAAGGUAACAUUCCUUUUCCCAUUUCAGCAGGUAGAAAAUUCAAGCUCAGAGAGGGGAGGUAUCUGCAGAGAGGGGAAGUCACCCUGCAGGUAGGAAGCAGCAGAGUCCCUACUCGGCCCGACACGCUAGCACGGCCGACUGGGGCGCGGCGUGGAUUCCUCUAGGCUGGGGUCACCAACUUCUCAAGGGGCAAAGGAGAGUCCUAGCCCCCGCCCAAAGAAUUUGUGCCUGUUCAUGAUGAAUCACGCUAGACACGUUUGUCACCCGUUUGUGCUCUUUCAUCACAGCUUCUUCUCUUUCUUACUUCUCUCCUGGGGGCCAAACUGGGAAGGAAAGGCUAAGCCACGGGGCUUCCUGCUUCGUGCUUGUGGGUUUCUGGGGUCCUACUAACCACUCCUCUAAUCGAAUGUCCUGAAGCCCAGCGACUCGACGGAGAGGCCAAAGGUGCGAGACCACUAGCCAAACAGGCUUCUAGUCCUCACCUCCCGGCAAUUCGCUGUGUGAAGGUGGGCGAGUCAUGUCCCAUCUCUCGAGUCCCCAUCUUAGAGCCGGUCCCCAGCAGACCUUUAAGCUUCCUUCCUACUCUGCCAUAUGGCUCUGAGCUCCGGUGCAAAGGCGGCUGGGCAGUGGGUCGCGCGGACCUUGCCCAGAGUGGUCUGUCUGGGCCGCGCACUGCUGGCUUAGCUGCCUUUUCACUCUCGGGACUCAACAGUGGACAUUGCACCUGGGGAAGAAAUGGCCGCGCGGAAGUUAUUUAAGGACUCUUCCUGGAAGGAGUCACCUGAGCGGACCUGAAUUCCAUCUGAGGACGGAGGACAGAUUCCGGGCCCUGACCCUGGCCCUGAGAUGUGGUUUCAUCAUGUUGCCCACGCUGGUCUUGAACUCCUGAUCUCAAGAGAUCCACUCGCCUUGGCCUACCAAAGUGCUAGGAUUACAGGUAUGAGCCACUGUGCUCAGCCAAGAAGCAAUUCUGAUUUAUAAGCCUGAAUGAAUUGAUAGUUUUUUCAUUCUUUCAACAAAUAUUUACUGAUUAUAUAUUAUAUACCCAGCACUGUGCUAAGUUCUCAACAUACAGUAAUCACCAAUGCAGUCAUCAACAAACUUACCCUCAACGAGCUUACAGCCUAGUGACGUAGCCAGAUAUAAACAAAUCCUUAUCAGAAUUAUGUAUUUACAUGAUUAUAAACUGUGUUAAGUAUUCUGAAGAAAAAGCAAGACUAGGGGGAUCUAAUAUUCGAAAUGGAGGAAACAGCAUGUGCAAACACUCAGAGAUGGGAAAGAACUUGGUACAUUAGAAAAAAUGAAAGGAGUCCUGUUUGAUAGGAAUGCAUAGAAUGAUAGAGAAAAGAGGCCUGAAAUGAGAUUAAAGAGGUCAUCAGGGUCAGAGUAAAUAGGACCCUUUCCGACAUGAAGAUUUUGCACUUUAUUUAUGGUGACAUGGAAAACUAUUGACAGGUUUGAAGACAGGAGAGACAUGAUCUGAUAUACAUUUAUUUAAACAAUCGUUUUGGCUAUGGAAUGUGGUAGAUAGAUUAGAAAGGUGCAAGAAAGGAAGCAGCACGGUGGUGGUACUCUGGAGAGACUGCAGAGAGUCUAGUCCCCCCAUAACAUUUAUUAUACCCCCUCCCCACAUACACAUACUCAUUCCAUCCUAAAGUUCACCAGCUUCACUGACAUACACUCUGUUCAGUAGCACACGGCCUGCUCUCAGAAGAGCCCACACUUGGUGGAAUGCUCUGCUGAAGCUGUUUUGAAAUUCUCCAACAUUUCUGAACAGGCAGUCCUACAUUUUCAUUUUGCACUGGACUCCACAUAUUAUGUAGCCAGUCCUGCUCAUCAAACAUGUGAUCUAAGUAAAAGUAGCUUGUAAACUCUUACAGUACCUAUAUAUACUGUAGCUGCUAAUGUCAGGGGUACUUCAAAUGAAUGUUAAGAUUCAACCAUUCAUCUCAUCACACAUGGACCGCAACUGCAGGACACUUCCUUUUUUUUUUUUUUUUUUUUUGAGAUGGACUCUUGCUCUGUUGCCCAGGCUGGAGUGCAGUGGUGCCAUCUCGACCCACUGCAAGCUCUGCCUCCUGGGUUCACGCCAUUCUUUUGCCUCAGCCUCCUGAGUAGCUGGGACUACAGGUGCCCGCCACCACUCCUGGCUAAUUUUUUGUAUUUUUAGUAGAGACAGGGUUUCACCGUGUUAGCCAGGAUGAUCUCGAUCUGCUGACCUCAUGAUCCGCCCAACUUGGCCUCCCAAAGUGCUGCGAUUACAGGCGUGAGCCACCACACCUGGCCAGGACACUUUCUACGUCAUCUAUGAAGCCUUUUCUUUGCACCCCAAACACACACUCAAGGUAGAAAUGGUGUGUUUGCUAUACAAAUUUAAUUUUGAGACAGGUUCAAUAACCUGCUUACUGUCCUUAACUUUUACCUAUAUAGAAAGUUUGAAACCAUCGGUGAAGCUGGGAAAACAGUUAAGAACCUAUUGCAAUAAUAAAGGUAGAAGGUGAUAACGGCUCAAACUAGUGGGGUGGCAGUGAGGGUGGAGAGAAGCGGACAUAUUUGGGAAGUAGGAACAAUAGGACUGAGUGAUGAAUGUGGGGCUGAGAGGCAGCUGUCAAGGGUAAGAUUCAUUAAAUUUCUUGCUUAGGGAACUAAAUGGUUGAAAAUAUAGCAAUGGAUCAGGGAAUUUUCCACCACAGCUGCAUAGUCUCCUUUGUUAUGCUUUGGUAGAGACGAUCUGAAGAGGCCUCAGCCCUGCCUGGUGAUGUUUGCUCAAGUCUGACUCUCAUACUGCCUCCUUGAACUACUGUGGCUAACCACAGCAAGCACUUGAAAUGACUGUACAGAUCAAACCACUUACUCCGCAAUAGCCCACUAGGGGCAAUGGGCUGAUAAGCCUUGCUCACUGAUAAUUAGCUCUAUUUUGUCUUUUUUAAAAUUUUUUAUUUUAAUUUUUUGAACGGGAGUUUCACUCUUGUUGCCCAGGCUGGAGUGCAAUGGCGCGAUCUUGGCUCACUGCAACCUCUGCCUCCUGGGUUCAAGCAAUUCUCUUGCCUCAGCCUCCCAAGUAGCUGGGAUUACAGGCACCUGCCACCAUGCCCAGCUAAUUUUUGUGUUUUUAGUAGAGACAGGGUUUCACCAUGUUGGUCAGGCUGGUCUUGAACUCCUGACCUUAGGUGAUCCACCUGCCUCGGCCUCCCAAAGUGCUGGGAUUACAGGUGUGAGCCACCGCAUUCCAUCUAUUUCGUCUUCUAAAGCAAAAAAGAAAGGUAUCUGCCACAUACACAUCAUGAUAGUGUUACAUACCCUUCUUCCCUUCCUGCUCCCAUCAGCCUUCAGGAAAACAAAUCUGGGCUUGCUUUACUCUCUCUCUCUUUGGUGAAAGGUGAUGGUGGUUAUUGUAGGGGAUGGUCUGGCUUUCAGCCAACCUCAGUAAUCAGGCUGCCUUGUCAGGGCUUAUCAGUUUCAACAGGCUGGCAGCUGUUGGCUGAGAAGCAAAGCACAGCUUUAGUGUAUACAAAAUAUGUUCACAUGUAUAUACAAACACACAGUGCCUUUCUACAUGUACCUAGGAUAUGUUAAAAUCUCUGUGUGACAAAAUGGGCAUUUGCAAAUGGACUGGAAGUCUACUUAUGACAGUAACAGAUGAAAUAUGCCUAAAAGCAGAAUAGCAUUUGAUUCUAGGCUUAAAAACAAUAAACUUUGAUUUUAAAAAAUUAAAAUAAUUUAAAUGAGUACUUGCAAAUGAAAUAAAAGCCAAGACAUUUAAAAGGUAAAACAAGACCCCUUACCACUACAAAAUUAACUCAAAAUGGGUCAAAGUACUAAAGAGCUAAAACUAUGAAGGAAACCAGUAAAUCUUCAUCUCACCUUUAAUAUGGCAAUAAUUUUUUAGAUAUAACACUAAAAGCAUAGAAACAAACUAAAAAAGUGGACUUUAUCAAAAUUAAAAACUUUUUUGAGCCAAAGGACAUUAUCAAGAAAAUGAAGUCUGGGUGUGGAAGCUCAUGCCUCUAAUCCUAGUACCUUGGGAGGGCUAGGUGGGAGGAUUGCCUGAGGACAGGAGGUUAAGACCAGCCUGGGCAACAUCAUGAUACAACAUCUCUACAUAAAAAUAAAAUGAAAAAUAAAAUAAAAAUAGGAAAUAUUUGGGGGGGGGAAUAGGGCAUAACAAUUUUAAAAAGAAAAUGAAAAGACAACGUACAGAAUGGGAAAAUAUCUGCAAAUCAUAUAUCUGACAAGGACUAGUAUCCAGAAUAUAUAAAGAACUCUUACAACUCAACCUCAAAAAGACAAAGAAUCAAUUAAAAAAUGGGCAAAGGACUUGAAUAGACAUUUCUCCAAAGAAGAUUUAGCAAUGGCCAAUAAACACAUGAAAAGAUCCUCAACAUCAUUAGUCUUUAGGGAAAGGCAAAACAGGACCACAAUGAGAUAUCACUUCACACUAAGAUAGCUAUAACAAAACAUAAACAACAGGAAAACAAGAGUUGACAAAGAUGCAGAGAAAUCAGAACCCUAGUGCAUUGCUGGUGAAAAUGUAAAAUGAUGCAGCCACUGUGGAAAACAGUAGUAACAGAACUACUUAAUCCAGUAAUUCCAAUCCCAAGAAUAUAUCCCCAAAAUUGAAAACAGGUACUCAAAUACAUGUACAUGCAUGUUUGAAGCAGCACUAUUCACAAUGCCAAAAGGUGGAAACAACCCAUAUGUCCAUAUGGGUUGUUCCAGAUAAACAAAAUAUGGUAUAUACAUAUGAUAUGGUUUGGCUGUGUCCUCACCCAAAUUUCAUCUUGAAUUGUACCCCAUAAUUCCCACCUGUCAUGGGAGGGAUCCGGUGGAAGGUAAUUGAAUCAUGGGGGCGGGUCUUUCUCCUGCUGUUGUGGUGAUAGUGAAUAAGUUUUAUGAGAUUUGAUGGUAUAAAGGAGAGUUCUGCAUAAGCUCUCUUGUCUGCCGCUUUGCUCUCCUUGCCUUCCGCCAUGUGGAACUGUGAGUCAAUUAAACCUCUUCUCUUUAUAAAUUACCUAGUCUCGGGUAUGUCUUUAUUAGCACCGUGAGAACAGUCUAACACAAUAUACAAUGGAAUAUUAUUGAGUCAUAAAAAAUAAUGAAGUAUUGAUACUUCAAUGUGAUGCUACAACCUUGUACUGUAUCUGCCCGUAAACAAGCUGAGAACAAUAUACUAAGUGAGAAAAACCAAGACACAAAAAACCCACAUAUUGUAUGAUAUGAAUAUGAAAUAUUCAUAAUAGGUAAAUCCAUAGAGACAGAAAGCAAAAUGGUGAUUGCCAGGGGCUGUGGGAGGGGAGAAUGAGAAUGACUGCUUAAUGGUUGUGAGGUUUUCUUUUGGGUGAUGAAAAU